GAAUCAUUUGAUGACUCAUUUGAUGAAUCACUUAUUAUGAAUCUUCCAUUUUUACCAUCACGUGAAUAUCAUUAUAUAAGUUUUGUAGUUUCAGGUGAAAACAGAAACACACCUGUUUCCUGUAAGAACAUGUUUAAGAUCAUGUGACACUGAUGAUCCAUAAAGUUUACAGUAGUUUCUCCCUCACCUCCCCCCCUUGAAGUUCCAUUAAAUGUAUAAAAGCCGACGGAGCUGCUCGGGAACAAUAGAGGAAGAAGGAACAUGACCGAGAGCCGAGUCAGGGACAGUGACCGGGUCAGAGAUAUGUACGAGGGAGUUAAGCUACUAGAUAAAAUGACUGAAGCACAAAAAAAAGCACACAGAGAAAAAACUCUUCACAAAAAUCCAGAUGUUUUAUUCAGAAUCUUUAAACAGGACAGACUCCAUGUGCUGCUCUUCAUGCCAACUGACACCGAAGAAUGGAAGAGGGUGAUUCAGGACAGAAGCAGAGCUGACCUUUCUGUUCAGCUGACGGGGAGACAUGGUCAUUUACCAAUCAUAAACAUGUCUGGUCCUGAGUAUGACCUCAAAUACAUCUGUGAGUCUUUUGAUCAGCUCUAUAAUCAAGUGCAGGAAAACAUUCAGGACAGAGCAGCACCACAGAGGACCGAUGAGGCUGAGAAGGAGGAAUUCGAUGUGAAAAUCAAGGAGCUGGAAGAGGGAGUCAAGAUCCUUUAAAGAAAAUCGGAGGAGAUUACAGGCCAAAGACAAGGCCGGUGACGUCCUGCUUUCCUUUCAUCACUGCGCUGUAUAUUUUAAAAAUAUAUUAAAAUAGUUGUAAUAUAGUUAAGUGGUUGAAUAAAUGCUCGACUGCUCCCAUAAUCUCUCUGGGUAAAGAGGAAGAUACACGUUGAGACUUUUCUCCUUGGUGAUGGAAUAAACUUCUGAAAACA